rnacentral:rRNA from 1 species
GAUUUCCGAAUGGGGAAACCCAGUGUGAUUCGUCACACUAUCAUUAACUGAAUCCAUAGGUUAAUGAGGCGAACCGGGGGAACUGAAACAUCUAAGUACCCCGAGGAAAAGAAAUCAACCGAGAUUCCCCCAGUAGCGGCGAGCGAACGGGGAGCAGCCCAGAGCCUGAAUCAGUGUGUGUGUUAGUGGAAGCGUCUGGAAAGGCGCGCGAUACAGGGUGACAGCCCCGUACACAAAAAUGCACAUGCUGUGAGCUCGAUGAGUAGGGCGGGACACGUGGUAUCCUGUCUGAAUAUGGGGGGACCAUCCUCCAAGGCUAAAUACUCCUGACUGACCGAUAGUGAACCAGUACCGUGAGGGAAAGGCGAAAAGAACCCCGGCGAGGGGAGUGAAAAAGAACCUGAAACCGUGUACGUACAAGCAGUGGGAGCACGCUUAGGCGUGUGACUGCGUACCUUUUGUAUAAUGGGUCAGCGACUUAUAUUCUGUAGCAAGGUUAACCGAAUAGGGGAGCCGAAGGGAAACCGAGUCUUAACUGGGCGUUAAGUUGCAGGGUAUAGACCCGAAACCCGGUGAUCUAGCCAUGGGCAGGUUGAAGGUUGGGUAACACUAACUGGAGGACCGAACCGACUAAUGUUGAAAAAUUAGCGGAUGACUUGUGGCUGGGGGUGAAAGGCCAAUCAAACCGGGAGAUAGCUGGUUCUCCCCGAAAGCUAUUUAGGUAGCGCCUCGUGAAUUCAUCUCCGGGGGUAGAGCACUGUUUCGGCAAGGGGGUCAUCCCGACUUACCAACCCGAUGCAAACUGCGAAUACCGGAGAAUGUUAUCACGGGAGACACACGGCGGGUGCUAACGUCCGUCGUGAAGAGGGAAACAACCCAGACCGCCAGCUAAGGUCCCAAAGUCAUGGUUAAGUGGGAAACGAUGUGGGAAGGCCCAGACAGCCAGGAUGUUGGCUUAGAAGCAGCCAUCAUUUAAAGAAAGCGUAAUAGCUCACUGGUCGAGUCGGCCUGCGCGGAAGAUGUAACGGGGCUAAACCAUGCACCGAAGCUGCGGCAGCGACGCUGAUGCGUUGUUGGGUAGGGGAGCGUUCUGUAAGCCUGCGAAGGUGUGCUGUGAGGCAUGCUGGAGGUAUCAGAAGUGCGAAUGCUGACAUAAGUAACGAUAAAGCGGGUGAAAAGCCCGCUCGCCGGAAGACCAAGGGUUCCUGUCCAACGUUAAUCGGGGCAGGGUGAGUCGACCCCUAAGGCGAGGCCGAAAGGCGUAGUCGAUGGGAAACAGGUUAAUAUUCCUGUACUUGGUGUUACUGCGAAGGGGGGACGGAGAAGGCUAUGUUGGCCGGGCGACGGUUGUCCCGGUUUAAGCGUGUAGGCUGGUUUUCCAGGCAAAUCCGGAAAAUCAAGGCUGAGGCGUGAUGACGAGGCACUACGGUGCUGAAGCAACAAAUGCCCUGCUUCCAGGAAAAGCCUCUAAGCAUCAGGUAACAUCAAAUCGUACCCCAAACCGACACAGGUGGUCAGGUAGAGAAUACCAAGGCGCUUGAGAGAACUCGGGUGAAGGAACUAGGCAAAAUGGUGCCGUAACUUCGGGAGAAGGCACGCUGAUAUGUAGGUGAAGCGACUUGCUCGUGGAGCUGAAAUCAGUCGAAGAUACCAGCUGGCUGCAACUGUUUAUUAAAAACACAGCACUGUGCAAACACGAAAGUGGACGUAUACGGUGUGACGCCUGCCCGGUGCCGGAAGGUUAAUUGAUGGGGUUAGCGCAAGCGAAGCUCUUGAUCGAAGCCCCGGUAAACGGCGGCCGUAACUAUAACGGUCCUAAGGUAGCGAAAUUCCUUGUCGGGUAAGUUCCGACCUGCACGAAUGGCGUAAUGAUGGCCAGGCUGUCUCCACCCGAGACUCAGUGAAAUUGAACUCGCUGUGAAGAUGCAGUGUACCCGCGGCAAGACGGAAAGACCCCGUGAACCUUUACUAUAGCUUGACACUGAACAUUGAGCCUUGAUGUGUAGGAUAGGUGGGAGGCUUUGAAGUGUGGACGCCAGUCUGCAUGGAGCCGACCUUGAAAUACCACCCUUUAAUGUUUGAUGUUCUAACGUUGACCCGUGAUCCGGGUUGCGGACAGUGUCUGGUGGGUAGUUUGACUGGGGCGGUCUCCUCCUAAAGAGUAACGGAGGAGCACGAAGGUUGGCUAAUCCUGGUCGGACAUCAGGAGGUUAGUGCAAUGGCAUAAGCCAGCUUGACUGCGAGCGUGACGGCGCGAGCAGGUGCGAAAGCAGGUCAUAGUGAUCCGGUGGUUCUGAAUGGAAGGGCCAUCGCUCAACGGAUAAAAGGUACUCCGGGGAUAACAGGCUGAUACCGCCCAAGAGUUCAUAUCGACGGCGGUGUUUGGCACCUCGAUGUCGGCUCAUCACAUCCUGGGGCUGAAGUAGGUCCCAAGGGUAUGGCUGUUCGCCAUUUAAAGUGGUACGCGAGCUGGGUUUAGAACGUCGUGAGACAGUUCGGUCCCUAUCUGCCGUGGGCGCUGGAGAACUGAGGGGGGCUGCUCCUAGUACGAGAGGACCGGAGUGGACGCAUCACUGGUGUUCGGGUUGUCAUGCCAAUGGCACUGCCCGGUAGCUAAAUGCGGAAGAGAUAAGUGCUGAAAGCAUCUAAGCACGAAACUUGCCCCGAGAUGAGUUCUCC